AUUGAACGCUGGCGGCAUGCUUUACACAUGCAAGUCGAACGGUAACAGGCCGCAAGGUGCUGACGAGUGGCGAACGGGUGAGUAAUGCAUCGGAACGUGCCCAGUCGUGGGGGAUAACGCAGCGAAAGCUGCGCUAAUACCGCAUACGAUCUAUGGAUGAAAGCGGGGGACCGUAAGGCCUCGCGCGAUUGGAGCGGCCGAUGUCAGAUUAGGUAGGUGGUGGGGUAAAGGCUCACCAAGCCAACGAUCUGUAGGUGGUCUGAGAGGACGACCAGCCACCCUGGGACUGAGACACUGCCCAGACUCCUACGGGAGGCAGCAGUGGGGAAUUUUGGACAAUGGGCGCAAGCCUGAUCCAGCAAUGCCGCGUGCAGGAAGAAGGCCUUCGGGUUGUAAACUGCUUUUGUACGGAACGAAACGGCUCUCACUAAUACUGGGGGCUAAUGACGGUACCGUAAGAAUAAGCACCGGCUAACUACGUGCCAGCCGCCGCUGUAACAC
rnacentral:rRNA from 1 species